rnacentral:rRNA from 1 species
AGAUUGAACGCUGGCGGAAUGCUUUACACAUGCAAGUCGAACGGCAGCACGGGGGCAACCCUGGUGGCGAGUGGCGAACGGGUGAGUAAUGUAUCGGAACGUGGCCCAGUCGUGGGGGAUAACUAUCCGAAAGGAUAGCUAAUACCGCAUACGACCUGAGGGUGAAAGCGGGGGACCUGCAAAGGCCUCGCGCGAUUGGAGCGGCCGAUAUCGGAUUAGCUAGUUGGGUAGGGGUAAAGGACUCGACCAAGGGCGACGAUCCGUAGGACGGGUCGUGAGAGGACGACCCGCCACACGUGGAACAGAGACGACCGGU